rnacentral:rRNA from 1 species
AACGAACGCUGGCGGCAUGCCUAACACAUGCAAGUCGAACGAGACCUUCGGGCCUAGUGGCGCACGGGUGCGUAACGCGUGGGAACUUGCCCUUAGGUUCGGAAUAACUCCCCGAAAGGUGUGCUAAUACCGGAUAAUGUCUUCGGACCAAAGAUUUAUCGCCUUUGGAUGGGCCCGCGUUGGAUUAGCUAGUUGGUAGUGUAAAAGCCUACCAAGGCGACGAUCCAUAGCUGGUCUGAGAGGAUGAUCAGCAGCACUGGAGCUGAGACACGGCCCAGACUCCUACGGAAGGGAGCAGUAGGGAGUAUUAGGCGAUGGACGAAAGCCUAAUACAGCAGUGCCGCGUGAGUGGUGAAGGCCUUAGGGUUGUAAAGCUCUUUUACCCGGGGUGAUAAUGACGGUACCGGGAGAAUAAGCACCGGCUAACUCCGUG